rnacentral:lncRNA from 7 species
UGUUUGUUUGUCAUCUUGAGGGAAGGAGACCUCAGCUAGUUCCUUGAUUCCUACAUGAAACCCGGAACAGAUCAAACCUGCAAAACCUUAAGGUAUUAUUUUGUAUUUUUUAUUCAGGCAGGGAAAAUGGUGAUAAACACAACAUAUUGGUUGAAAUUCAUACCAUAAAUAUCCAUUUGAUCACCCUUUGCUUGAUAUCUUUAC